rnacentral:rRNA from 1 species
AGUGAACGCUGGCGGUAGGCCUAACACAUGCAAGUCGAACGGCAGCACAGUAAGAGCUUGCUCUUACGGGUGGCGAGUGGCGGACGGGUGAGGAAUACAUCGGAAUCUACUUUUUCGUGGGGGAUAACGUAGGGAAACUUACGCUAAUACCGCAUACGACCUACGGGUGAAAGCAGGGGAUCUUCGGACCUUGCGCGAUUGAAUGAGCCGAUGUCGGAUUAGCAGUUGGCGGGGUAAAGGCCCACCAAGGCGACGAGCCGUAGCUGGUCUGAGAGGAUGAACAGCCACACUGGAACUGAGACACGGUCCAGACUCCUACGGGAGGCAGCAGUGGGGAAUAUUGGACAAUGGGCGCAAGCCUGAUCCAGCCAUACCGCGUGGGUGAAGAAGGCCUUCGGGUUGUAAAGCCCUUUUGUUGGGAAAGAAAAGCAGCAGGUUAAUACCCCGCUGUUCUGACGGUACCCAAAGAAUAAGCACCGGCUAACUUCGUG